rnacentral:rRNA from 1 species
GAUGAACGCUAGCGGCAGGCUUAAUACAUGCAAGUCGUGGGGCAGCAUAGCUGUAGCAAUACAGUUGAUGGCGACCGGCAAACGGGUGCGGAACACGUACACAACCUUCCUUUUAGUGGGGGAUAGCCCAGGGAAACUUGGAUUAAUACCCCGUAAUAUAUAGAAGCGGCAUCGCUUUUAUAUUAUAGCAGCAAUGCGCUUGAAGAUGGGUGUGCGGCUGAUUAGAUAGUUGGCGGGGUAACGGCCCACCAAGUCGACGAUCAGUAACUGGUGUGAGAGCACGACCAGUCACACGGGCACUGAGACACGGGCCCGACUCCUACGGGAGGCAGCAGUAAGGAAUAAUGGUCAAUGGACGCAAGUCUGAACCAGCCAUGCCGCGUGGAGGAUGAAGGUCCUCUGGAUUGUAAACUUCUUUUAUCUGGGAAGAAAUCCAUUUUUUCUAAAAUGGUUGACGGUACCAGAUGAAUAAGCACCGGCUAACUCCGUGCC